AGAGUUUGAUCCUGGCUCAGGAUGAACGCUAGCGACAGGCUUAACACAUGCAAGUCGAGGGGCAGCACAGGUAGCAAUACCGGGUGGCGACCGGCGCACGGGUGAGUAACGCGUAUGCAACUUACCUAUCAGAGGGGGAUAACCCGGCGAAAGUCGGACUAAUACCGCAUGAAGCAGGGGCCCCGCAUGGGGAUAUUUGCUAAAGAUUCAUCGCUGAUAGAUAGGCAUGCGUUCCAUUAGGCAGUUGGCGGGGUAACGGCCCACCAAACCGACGAUGGAUAGGGGUUCUGAGAGGAAGGUCCCCCACAUUGGUACUGAGACACGGACCAAACUCCUACGGGAGGCAGCAGUGAGGAAUAUUGGUCAAUGGGCGUAAGCCUGAACCAGCCAAGUCGCGUGAGGGAUGAAGGUUCUAUGGAUCGUAAACCUCUUUUAUAAGGGAAUAAAGUGCGGGACGUGUCCCGUUUUGUAUGUACCUUAUGAAUAAGGAUCGGCUAACUCCGUGCCAGCAGCCGCGGUAAUACGGAGGAUCCGAGCGUUAUCCGGAUUUAUUGGGUUUAAAGGGAGCGUAGAUGGAUGUUUAAGUCAGUUGUGAAAGUUUGCGGCUCAACCGUAAAAUUGCAGUUGAUACUGGAUAUCUUGAGUGCAGUUGAGGCAGGCGGAAUUCGUGGUGUAGCGGUGAAAUGCUUAGAUAUCACGAAGAACUCCGAUUGCGAAGGCAGCCUGCUAAGCUGCAACUGACAUUGAGGCUCGAAAGUGUGGGUAUCAAACAGGAUUAGAUACCCUGGUAGUCCACACGGUAAACGAUGAAUACUCGCUGUUUGCGAUAUACUGCAAGCGGCCAAGCGAAAGCGUUAAGUAUUCCACCUGGGGAGUACGCCGGCAACGGUGAAACUCAAAGGAAUUGACGGGGGCCCGCACAAGCGGAGGAACAUGUGGUUUAAUUCGAUGAUACGCGAGGAACCUUACCCGGGCUUAAAUUGCAGAUGAAUUACGGUGAAAGCCGUAAGCCGCAAGGCAUCUGUGAAGGUGCUGCAUGGUUGUCGUCAGCUCGUGCCGUGAGGUGUCGGCUUAAGUGCCAUAACGAGCGCAACCCUUAUCUUCAGUUACUAACAGGUCAUGCUGAGGACUCUGGAGAGACUGCCGUCGUAAGAUGUGAGGAAGGUGGGGAUGACGUCAAAUCAGCACGGCCCUUACGUCCGGGGCUACACACGUGUUACAAUGGGGGGUACAGAAGGCAGCUAGCGGGUGACCGUAUGCUAAUCCCAAAAUCCUCUCUCAGUUCGGAUCGAAGUCUGCAACCCGACUUCGUGAAGCUGGAUUCGCUAGUAAUCGCGCAUCAGCCACGGCGCGGUGAAUACGUUCCCGGGCCUUGUACACACCGCCCGUCAAGCCAUGGGAGCCGGGGGUACCUGAAGUACGUAACCGCAAGGAUCGUCCUAGGGUAAAACUGGUGACUGGGGCUAAGUCGUAACAAGGUAGCCGUACCGGAAGGUGCGGCUG
rnacentral:rRNA from 1 species